CCAGCACCCGAGUGGUCGGGACGAUUAUUGGGCCUAAAGCAUCCGUAGCCGGUUUUACAAGUCCUCCGUUAAAUCCAACUGCUUAACAGGAUGGGCCGCGGAGGAUACUAUAAGACUAGGAGGCAGGAGAGGCAAGCGGUACUCAGUGGUAGGGGUAAAAUCCGUUGAUCCAUUGAAGACCACCAGUGGCGAAGGCGGCUUGCCAGAAUGCGCUCGACGGUGAGGGAUGAAAGCUGGGGGAGCAAACCGGAUUAGAUACCCGGGUAGUCCCAGCUGUAAACGAUGCAGACUCGGUGAUGGACCAGCUUCAUGCUAGUCCAGUGCCGCAGGGAAGCCGUUAAGUCUGCCGCCUGGGUAGUACGGUCGCAAGACUG
rnacentral:rRNA from 1 species